GCCAGCAGUGAUAGCACGUUGAAUGCCGCACUUCCUCAUAGAUCACUGAAGUUAAGCAACAUUGCGCGUAUUUAGUAUCCGGAUGGGUGACCGUCUGGACAAUCGCGUGCUGGCU
rnacentral:rRNA from 1 species